CGCCAUAAAAAUGCGCGGUUCACCCUCCUCAUUUCAUCUUGUUCCAAAUAGUUAGCGAUGGGUCAACAGCGAUGCAUAGCUGUGAGGAGGGGACCAUUGUGUCCGGUGUAAGACAAGCUGUAUUAAUCAUUGUGCAAGGCAAGUCUGAGCCUGUCUGGAUGGAUGGAGGAGUGGCAGCUGGCUGUUACCGAUCAAAGGGCCGUGAUGACUCAGCACAUAGUGAGGGUGAAUUUUUACUAUCGUCCAGUUGUUUUAUUUAAAAGCAGAAUUUGCUGUUGCAUUAAUCUGAAUUUGGAUAUUAUGCAUAAAAUGGCCAGAUCUGAAGGCAUUAAGAUUUGGGGUGUAACAAGUGCUUUGUUUUUGGUUUGGACAACUAAAAUUCAGUUUCAGGAUCAGGUGACAGGUUUUUAGGCGGGUAUAUUAGACUGCGUUUACAUGUGCCCUGCUAUUUUCAUAAAUGGACAUUUCACCCUCUCCGUUUACAAAAAACUGUGUGCACACCACUAAGUUUUCAGAAAGGUUUUCGUUUACAUUAGCCUGUGUAUAUAUACCGCUCAAGCCCACGUUAGCCAAUCAGAAUCCCGCAUAAUAACACCAACAACGUUUCUUCCGUCAUUCCUGCGCACAAUCUGCUGUUGGCUGCCCAGAUCUCAGUUAUUCUUCGUGUACAUGCAAAGGAGUUUUCUAAAACCUCAACUCUUGCCGAAGUUCUUAAAAAGCAUCGUCUUAAGGGGCGAAUUCUUUGUUUGUGUCUAAACAAAGGAUGCAAACGAUGAUUAAUAUUUCAGUUUUUAUAAAUAACUGGGUACGUAUAAACGGGGCCUUUAUCUCUUAUUUGUCUUCUUACAACAGUUAAACUUCUAUAAAACUCUAACAGGCAUGAAUAUACAAAAAUAUUCAAACACACCAUCACUACCGACAAGACAGGCUGGCGUGUUUCAGAACAUAACAUCUCACAGCAGGAUGUGCUGUUCUGCUUCCCUGAGCAUGUCUGCUGAAUAUUUUUGCUGGUCAAUCAUCAGCAAAAUUCAUAACAAAAGAGAUAGGAAUGGUAUUUAACAAAUUUAUGCAAAGGGAAAGCCUCUAUCCUGCUUUUUGGAUUUGAUGAAAAUGCAAUCAUUUUCAGCCCUACAAAUGUCUUACACUCAAUCUCCCCCCUUUCCUAUCUUCUGCCAUUAUUCUUUCGCAGUUACAAAUCAGUCUCCCCUGUCCCAGAUCCAAUUUGACAACCAAAUCAAUGUCUCAUGAAUAUUUUUGGAAGGCAUCCUGCGCCAUAAGAUGAACUCAGGCUAGACACCAUCAUCAGCCUUAACUUUCAGAUCUCCAAACUUCACGCAAGGUGCAAUCUUCUCCUUGACUUUCCAUCUCUGAAACUUAUUUGAUGGGCUGCACUAUUGAUUGGUCUUAUUUUGGUUGUAGCGGCUUUGUUUGGAGCUUUAAAUCGAUUCAGAACUUUCUUUGGCAAUCAGCUAAUCAUCCUCUGAUAAGUGAGAAGAAUCAGUUUCAAGUGUGUGAAGAAAAGUCAGAGGAAGAGGUUUGUAUGGAAGUAAAAUCUUAUGUUUACUGGGAAGAAGCAGAGGAAAAUUCCACAACCUUCAAGGGAUCACAACCUACUGCCAAAUAUGACCAGACAGUUAAGAUCAACGCCUCUCCUUCACCGCUUAUCACGCUAAAUCUUUGCUUUUUUGUUUGUGGUUUUAUCUUGUCUCUUUAUCACAGUUACCUGUGUGAGGUAGAGGGUAUACACACACAGUCUGCUAAUACACAACCUGUUCUUGUCAGCUGUUUUAUCUUAAACUCUCUAAUCUGUUUACCACGGGUCACCUGCGUCAAUAAUAAUUGGAAGCAGCUCUUCCUUAAAGAUAAGCGCCCAGCUCUUUGUUUCCUUCUCUGUCUCGCUUCAUGUGCAGCAGAGCGAUUUAAGCGUAGGUUUUGCAACAUCAUAUACUAUAUCGUGUAUCACAGUUCUUGUGUGACGGUUGGUUGUUUUAUUUGUUCUCACAAGAAUCACACCGCAUUCCCUCCUUUGCUUCUCAGCUCUCUGUGCUGCCGUCAUCUCUCAUUUCUGACAGGCUUUGUGGCAUGGCCGGGGCAAGUUUGGGCUUGUACAGCUAGCCCUCCCAAGGUCUGAGGCAUGCACACACACACACACACACACAUACACACACAAACACACACACACACACACACACACACACACAAAUUCAUACACACAAACAUUUCCUCCAAUCAAAGCCAGACCUUAUGAAUGCCCCACAACACAAUUGCUGAUUUUAGUGAGGAUGCAGCUCUUCAGAUGAGGCCAAUCAUGUGGGUAUCUACUAAAGUGGCCGAAGUCGCCCAUUUGACCCCUAGCCACUGUCAAGGACAUUGUGCCAUCUGUUUCUCUCCAAUUGAAAGUGCGUGACUGAUAAAAGAUAUAAAGAAAAGAAGGCAUUUCAUUUAACUACCCAACAUGUGAACUUUUGUUUUAUAUGUACGUAUACCGAUAAACAGAUCAUUCUAAAUCACAACUCACAGGAGCAACAUGGACCUUUAGUUCUCAAAUAGGCUAAAAGGGUAAAAAGAUGUGUAUUGGUAUGGUUGUACAGUAUAUCAGAGAGAGCUACACUGCAAUGCUACAGUUUAUUAAGAAGAAAGCACUCGAACAUGCCUGCAUGCUGGAUAAAAAGCUUAGAAUACUAGUCUAGCCUUCUGUUUUCUCACACAAUAGCUUUUAAUAGCGUUUUUUUUCUUUUAUAUACAUAUAUAUAUCAAAACAGGUAGCAUCUUACAUACUGGUGCUACUGGCUCUUACGGUAACGAUGAUAUAAACAAGACCCUAGCUAGCAUUAACUGUCUCCCGGUCAUGAUCGCUGAGUCAGGCUGCCAAAUCAUUGGAAAAAGGAAAGCUAAAUGCUGUUCCAGGGCAGGUAGACCUGCAAGCCUCUGUAAUGAUAAAUAACAUACCAAAAACAGAUUCUGAACCAGUUAAACUUAAUUAUCAAUGAAAAGAGAUGUCAAAGAAGAAAAUCAACAUUUUUAGAACAAAUGAAAUUUUGAAAAAUGUUCCAUUUCAGUACAAAAUGUGUAAUAUAAAAAUGAUUCAGGAUGGGUUUGGUUCUUAAAUGGAUGAAAACCAAAUCUACCCACAGGCGGAGCUCAUACAUAUCAAUCAGCCUGCAAUUACCAUGUCUGGUCUUGAAACAGUCUGGUCAUCGUCAAUUUCCUUUAUUCUUCCUCUCAAGCUAAAUGUCGAACAAUUUGUCCUUAACAGUUUUCCUGUCCAUUCAGACUGCAGGUCUAUCCUAUUGAGUACAUAAAACCAGACCCCUCCUCUUUCCUCCCCAACAAAACCAAGCACAGUAACCCUACAGCUCUACUGUCCUGCCUCCGUCCUUAACAGUAUAGCUCACAGACACAACAAGUGUGGUGCUGGCUAUUUACAGGGGGUGGGCUGAGGUGCUCCUGCCAGGCUCUUUAUGGUCUUGGGUGGGUUGUAGCAGAGAAUAGGCCCCUGCCAGCAGCCAGCGGUGGUCAGGGCUAUACAUGGGAGAGGGUCUCAGCAGGCAGCUAUUGUCAUGGUAAACGGAGGAGUGAAUGGAAGAGGACGGGCAGGACACACACAUAAAACAGAGGAAAACAUGAGAAAGGGAGGGGAAGAGAGGAGACAAACACUCGACCACCUCAGAGAUGGCACAAAUAUAAGCUGGAGGAGGCCUUGUGUGUCUACAUUAAUGAGGGGCUUAAACAUGAUGCUCUUACCUCACCAAACCUACAUAAAGCCAUGCUGUUACCUUUCUUUAAAGGAGGGUGAGAGGGAAUCUCUUAAGGGAUGCCUUCAUAUGACAAAAACAAACAAUCUUCGCUGGUUCAUGCUUUUAAAUUUGCAAACGUUGGAUAGGAAAAAUUUGACAUUUGUAUGUUAGUGAAAAAAUAUUUCUCCAGCAGGAUUCACAGCUUGUGUGGACCAAACUCAAGUGCACAUGAAUUGCGCUCAAGACCACCUCUUCAAGCAGACCCCGGUAUGAUUGUGUUUGCACAGAUCAAAUCAACUAGACUUUGGGGUCAAGUGUACUUGGAUCUUGGUCUAGUCCAUGAUCUGAAACCUUCCUAAGAUAGCUAGCUUGCAGGAUGGCUUGUACUAAUGAAAGUCAGUUUGUGACUCACUGUUUACAAUGGUUAGAAAGACAUGUCGGUUUUAUAAAAGCAGUGUUUCACCGAUGAGGCAUUGACCUCCAAGGUCAAGUCAAUGAAUGUAUUUCCAACCUUACAGAGGGAAUCUUCUGUUGUGCAUUCAGGAGGAACACAAGGUCUUGAAUUCUCCUACAUGUGAGUUUGCCUGAACAUCAAGUCCUGUGAAGGCUGGAAAGGCUGCAGACCCAAACGGCAAUCUCCAGUCUUAAGAAAUGAGGCCAAAAUCUGCAGUUACACUGAGUCAGAGAAGCAUUUUUUGGGGGCAAAAUGUAGUCUGUGCUAGUUUUGAAAGACAAAUCCUUUGUAGUCUCCAUUCAUCAAACAGAGGAGCCUCUGAAUUGGGACAGCUAAGUAGGUGUCCUCUGUACAUGUAUUACAUUCAGAUAUAAGAAGGAAAACUUAGAGGCUUCUGUUCCUGGAAACAUGACACAGACAUGCGGCUGUUGUAGACUAGAUAGAUAAUGAAAUUGAGAGGGUGUUGAAGGUCGCAUUUAUUGAUUGAUUUUAUUUAUCUAAAAAAUCUGCAUUUACACCUCAGAUCUGAGACAUAAUGAGAGUGUCUGUCAGCUGCCUCACCAGGGCACAAAGGGCACAAAAAGGGUUAAAAGGCUUUGGUUGCCCGAUAAUCCUCCACCGUUAAAAGCCCUUCAGAAAGAUGUGACGUGUGUGAGGUAAUCAGUAAAAGAUUCAAGUGUGCCAAAGCCUGAGUGCACACACACCCACCCACACACACACACACACACACACACACACACACAAAUACACGCACAAGCACUUUUCAGCACCACACAGAGUGAACAAAAAGGGAGGGAAAAGACCGAGUAGAGGAGGGAAAAAUAGAGAAUAAACACUCCUCCUCUCUCUCUUUCUUGGGUCGUUUUCACUCUUCUGCUUACCUCUGAGCCCCUGCUGUGUCAAUACAAUGUGACAGAGAUUUUCACUACAGCUCCCUUUCAGUCAUACAAACACUCACAUGGCUGGCUGAUAUGACCUUUUUGACGUCUUGUCAUCUUUUUUUUCUACUUGUAUUGUUCGGCAGAGUCUUUGAGGGAGGUUAGACCACCUUGUGAGACACAUUUCUGUCUGUCUUGGUGACCAUGCUGGCACAACUACCAACAUUUUCUGUAUACAUACUACACCUGUAUUUUUUGGCCUUUGUAACAGCUGUAAUUUUCAGGAAAUGUUACACACAAGCUGUGGUGUGGACAAGAAAAAAGGAAUAUUGAAGAAACCACUUUUGUACACGGGGCAACAGUUGAAGACUUUUGAGAGGCAGCAAUUUCCUUACACCUCAUUAGAAUAAGUUUAUACUGUGAUUCAACGACAAAAGAAAACCUGUCUAUCUUUCUGGCUUUGAUUUCUUAAAAGAUGUAGAAUAAAAAGAAUUAAAUACCCCAUGCGAGACAACGUCAUUUACAUAAUUUUUCCCUCUUUGCCAAUCUGUCCCUGGCCAAUGGUCUUCAAUUACCUUCCAUGUCACAGCAUCGAGCACUCAGAAUUUGGCAUUUAGAUGUUUAAUUGACUGUCACUGAUAAUGGGAUUGUGUUCAUCCAACCAGGGUGCAAGGAGGGGUGGCACAAGGCCUAUGAAACUGUUAGAAGGAGAACGGGAGAGGAAGACAGACAUUCGCUCUCUCCUCCAAUAAAUACUUCAAUUCGAAGAAGACUUUGGAGUACUUUAUAAGAAAACAGUAACAGACACUUCAUUCCCUCUUUUCCGUACUCAGAUUAUGUACCAUGCCUUUCUUUCACAAUCGAGACAGAUAUAUGAACACGAAACCAUUCUGAGUGAGAGAGUAGCUGUGUGACGGGUCCUUUUACCUAUUUUGAAUUACUGUAUGUUCAGGAGAAGAACUCAAAGGAUACAACAGGUACUAUUGCUGUGUUCCAGUUACCUCGGAAGUUGGAUGUCGGAGCUGGAAAUAAUGUUACACCUGAGUUGAGCUAUUGUUAGCUAUACCAGUUGAAAACAGCACAUAAUACAGUAUUUCAACCAACAAACACCAUAGUAUCAUGUCCACAGUUAGACGUUGGGCAGUACUACAUAGAACACUUAUUUAAUUUCACAAAAACAAAACAGAAGGGCUAAUAAAUAAUACAUUACGAGAGAUUUUACUGUUACUCUUUACUGUUGAUGCACUGUGCUGCCAUAUUGGAUUAUGACGUUGUUGUCAAAUCAAGGUUGGUGAGGAUAGUCUGACUUUCUGAGGCGGAAAUCUGACUUCAGAGGGGCGUUCCAGGUGGAUUCCCGACAGAGAACUCGGAAAAUCCAAUUUCCAAGUACAA